rnacentral:lncRNA from 1 species
AUGGGAAUUCGUUUCCAUACCUGUGCAGGUGUCCGUGUGUCCUCAUCCCCAGGUGUCCCUGUUUGUGUGUCCCUGUCCAUGUGUCCCCAUCCUGUGUCUCCCUGCCUGGCUGUCCACUCUCACCCCCAUGUGUCCCCAUCUCUCUCUCCAUGUGUCCCCAUCCGUCCGUGUGUCCCUGUCCCCAUCCCCGCAUGUCCCUCUACGUGCGACCCUGUUUGUGUCUCUUCUCCGUGUGUCCCCAUCCCAUUCCUGUCUGUCUGUCUGUCCCUGUCCCUGUGUUUCCAUCCCGUGUGUCCCUGUCCGCGCAUCCCUGUCUGUCUGUCCCCAUCCCUGUCCGUGUGUCCCCAUCCCUGUCCGUCUGUCCCCAUCCUUGUCUGUCUGUCCCCAUCCCUGUCCGUCUGUCCCCAUCCCUGUCCGUGUGUCCCUGUCCGCGCAUCCCUGUCCGUGUGUCCCUGCCCGUCUGUCCCCAUCCCUGUCCGUGUGUCCCUGUCCGGCAUCCCUGUCCGUGUGUCCCCAUCCCUGUCCGUGUGUCCCUGUCCCCAUCCCUGUCCGUGUGUCCCCAUCCCUGUCCGUGUGUCCCCAUCCCUGUCCGUCUGUCCCCAUCCCUGUCCGUGUGUCCCCAUCCCUGUCCGUCUGUCCGCCUCCCGGAGCCGCUCGGGGCCGGGCCCGGGGGUCCGGGGCCCCGGGCGGGGCGGGCGCGGCGGGCGGGGCCGGCGGCGGGGCGGGAUCGGCUCUGCGGCGGCCGCACCGAGCCGAGCCGAGCCGAGCCGAGCCGAGCCUGCCCAGCCGAACCGGCCCCGCCGCACCGGCCGCAGCCCCGCCGAGCCCCGCCGCACCGAGCCGAGCCGCGCCGGGCGGAGCGGAGCCGCCGCGCCGGGGCCGCCCCGGGCCGGGCCAUGCGCUGAGGCCGCCGCGCCGCCCGCAGCCAAGGGCGGAUCCCGGGCAGGACACGGUGAGGCGGCGGGCACCGCAAUGCGACCGGCGCGGCGGGGGCCGGGGGAGCGCGGCCGGCGCGGGGACCGGGGGUGCUGGCGGGGAGCGGCGGGGGGAGCCGUGACCCUGCCCCGCCAUCUGCCCGUGCCCUCCUGCCGCCGCUCCAUCUCCAUCCCGAGCGGGAUGCUCGUCCCUCCCUGCCGCUCCUCCAUCUCCAUCCUGCCCCUCCAUCCAGCGCCUUCUGCCUCUCCGGCUGUGUCCUGCUCCUCCCCUGCCGCUCCAUCUCCAUCCCGAGCGCGAUGCUCGUUCACCCUGCUCCUCCUCUGCCCCUCCGAGCGACCUCCAGCCCCUUCUCCAGCCCCUUCUCCAGCCCCUUCACCCUCCAUCCUGCCCUUCCCACGCUCCCCGUCCCACCCCUGCUCCCUCACCCCACCCUGA